rnacentral:rRNA from 1 species
CCUACGGGUGGCAGCAGUCGAGAAUCAUUCACAAUAGGGGAAACCCUGAUGGUGCGACGCCGCGUGGGGGUAUGAAGGUCUUCGGAUUGUAAACCCCUGUCAUGUGGGAGCAAAUUAAAAAGAUAGUACCACAAGAGGAAGAGACGGCUAACUCUGUGCCAGCAGCCGCGGUAAUACAGAGGUCUCAAGCGUUGUUCGGAAUCACUGGGCGUAAAGCGUGCGUAGGCUGUUUCGUAAGUCGUGUGUGAAAGGCGCGGGCUCAACCCGCGGACGGCACAUGAUACUGGGAGACUAGAGUAAGGGAGGGGGAACCGGAAUUCUCGGUGUAGCAGUGAAAUGCGUAGAUAUCGAGAGGAACACUCGUGGCGAAGGCGGGUUCCUGGACAUUAACUGACGCUGAGGCACGAAGGCCAGGGGAGCGAAAGGGAUUAGAUACCCUGGUAGUC